rnacentral:rRNA from 1 species
UACGGGGGGGGCAAGCGUUGUUCGGAAUUACUGGGCGUAAAGGGCGCGUAGGCGGUUUGUACAGUCAGGUGUGAAAUUCCCGGGCUCAACCUGGGGGCUGCACUUGAUACGUAUGGACUGGAGUGGGGAAGAGGGUCGUGGAAUUCCCAGUGUAGAGGUGAAAUUCGUAGAUAUUAGGAAGAACACCGGUGGCGAAGGCGGCGACCUGGUCCUUGACUGACGCUGAGGAGCGAAAGCGUGGGGAGCGAACAGG